UAUAACUGCGCGUUCUACUAUAACAUCCAGUAGAUGAAACUUCAGACUCAAAUAUCGAUUUAUGCGCUACUUCUACCUGUUGCUGCGACAGCUGCACAUCAUCGCAUUAAUGUGUGACAAUACAUUGUAAGAAUCAUGUGUAUCGUAUCAUGCGCCGUCCAAUGUACGCGCACGCGCCGACCGUUACUACUGCGUGUAGUGGCACAACGCAGCGAAGAGACAACUUCAGUAAGUUAGUCACCUUCGUCAGAAAAUCAUGGAGAAUGAACUCACGAAUAAUCCUAGCGUCUCCGUGCCCAAGCAUUUGAUCGAAUACAAAUACAAUGAAUAUAGCAUCCAGAUAAUACGUUGGAUUCUCAAAGCAAUUAAUGCAUGGCCACGUCCCGCCGACAUCUCAAUCGUCGAGAAGAUCCAUUCCGAUUUCGCAAGAUUUAUGUGCUACUUCCUGAUAAUCGCCGUCAUGGUACCGAACGGUUUAAGUAUGUUUUUGGAUAAGCAGCUGCCUUAUGCGGACAAACUGCAGAACUUCGGCCCAUUCACCUUCUGGGCUAUAGCGAUAGUAAAUUAUUCCUGCCUCCUGAUACACAUUGACGACAUACGUGAUUGUGUGGAGCACGUAAAGGUAGACUGGCGGAUCAUCAAAGGUUUGGAGGAUCGGAAAGUGAUGCUGAAAACUGCCCGGCUAGGCCGUUUUUUCGCCGGUUUCUGUGCCGUGUUCAUGCACUGCGGCGUGUUCUCAUACAAUAUCGUCCAAGGAACUCUAAAGACUGCUUUACAAAUGGAGAAUGGCAGUGUAACAGUUCGUACUUUACCCUAUCCGUUCUACCACAAGAUCCUGAACGCAUACUACAGUCCAGCGUACGAGUGCGUAUUCUUUAUGCAAUUCCUCUCGUCCUUCAUCGUGAACAGCGUUACAGUUGCCACAUGUAGCUUGGCAGCAGUUUUCGUGAUGCACGCAUGCGGCCAAAUAAAAAUCAUGAUAUCUUGGCUAGAAAAUUUUAUUGACAAUAGAAAUGAAGAAGGAACUUCUAUGAGGCAAAAAUACGCAAUCAUUGUAAAUCAUCAUUUGAGAAUCAUAAGUUUUGUAUCUCGAAUAGAAAAAAUUAUGAAUAUAAUUUGUCUUGUGGAAUUAUUGGGAUGUACAAUGCAUAUAUGUUGCUUAGGAUACUACUGUAUGAUGGAUUAUUUUUCAGGCGACAAACGAAGUAUCUUAUCGCAUGGGAUGGUAUUAUGUUCAAUCACUUUUAAUAUUUUUAUAUUUUGUUACAUCGGGGAAAUACUUUCUGAACAGGUAUACGAAACGGCCUUUAGGGCGAACAGAUUGGUAAAUCUGCCUAUAUGACAAACUGGCAUCUCUUGCCUGGGAAAUCCGCUCAGGGGAUUAUUUUGAUAAUCUUAAGAUCCAAUACUGUCCUCAAGAUAACUGCGGGAAAGAUUGUCCAGCUUUCAUUUGCCACUUUCGGUGACGUAAUAAAAUCUGCGUUAGCGUAUUUAAAUAUGCUUCGGACUAUACUGGUUUUAUAAAUAAUUAUACAACUUUGGCAUGAAAAAGAUAACGUGUAAAAUAAGCAGUUUUAUAAUAGAUACUUAAUAAAAACUUUAUGUAAUAUUUGUUUACGUAAAAUGAAUACCCACUAUUCGGGCCAGAAAUGAUAAAUUUAAAAUAUAAUAUUUUUAAUUAUUAUAUUUUAUACACAUUUUAUACACAUUUAAUUAAAUAUACUAAUAUAGAUUUUAAUUAUAGAAUUUUAUAAGAUCAAAAAUAUAACGUUUACAUAUGUAUACAUAAAUACACAAAUCUUACAAAUUCUGAAAGUAUUGAUAAUAUACGUAAAUAUGAUCCAAACAAUUACAUUAUAUAUUUAUAUUCGUUUUGUACAUGUAGAAGUAUUACAUUUGUUGAAAUAAAUCAGGUUAUUCUAUA